ACCAGGGCCCCCAGCGGGGACACAGGAAGUCUUCCAAUAGUCAGCCAGCCCCUAUACGUCCACAGCUGUGGCUGGGUCCAGGCUUGCAGGGGGCGGAAGCCAGAUCCGGGAGCAGCGAGACAGAUCACUGGAUGAUGGACAGGGCAGCCGGCCAGCUGCAGACACAGUGGAACUCCCACAGGAGCAGGAAGGAAGCCGGGGUGUAAAUGGGAGCGCACACUUCCACUUCCGGUUACAAGGGAAUGCACCAGAGUGGAAACAGAAGGCCUUGACUUGCGCCCCCUUGUGGUCAGGAAAUCCCAACCUUAUAAACCGCUAUGUCCCAAAUGGCAUCUCCUAACUGGACAGCGCACAGACACCUCAUGGGAUUUCCCAGCUGGGCUGUGAUCACAGUGGACGAUAUAGAGAGAGACCUGUAUUUCCAUAGUGAUGCAGGAGACAGGGGAGGUUUCCAGAGACUAAGCAAGUAAUUGCAGUUCGCAAGAGGAAAACCAAAAUGAAAUUAGGCAGAAAGAAAGAGACCGGUGUCAACAAAGAAAGACGAGGUCAUAUUAUGCUGUUUCAGAAUGUCGCAAUGAUUGACAAGCAAUGUAUUGACGAGCAAUGUGGAGAGGACUGUGUAGAGGACAACAAGCUGUUUCCAGGACAGUUAACGAAGAGAUACUGGCCACCAUUCACGUGUAAUAUUAAAGAGGAUUUGAUGUCUCCUGCAUUGGCUAACAAGUGGCUAACACGUCUGAAAAGCUUAGGUCUGGGUGACGUUUCUGUCCAGAACCCCAAAGAGCCUUUUUUCUCCUUGAUUCAAAUGUACUUCCCUCCAGGAAGGAUUUUCCAAAAAACCAAACUCACCCCAGGGUGCCCGUGCCGUCUCACAGCAAGACUACAGGAUGGGAGAGAACUGGCCCUGUGAGUUUCUGAGA